rnacentral:rRNA from 1 species
AUGAACGCUGGCGGCGUGCCUAAUACAUGCCAGUCGAGCGAACAGACGAGGAGCUUGCUCCUCUGACGUUAGCGGCGGACGGGUGAGUAACACGUGGAUAACCUACCUAUAAGACUGGGAUAACUUCGGGAAACCGGAGCUAAUACCGGAUAAUAUAUUGAACCGCAUGGUUCAAUAGUGAAAGACGGUUUUGCUGUAACUUAUAGAUGGAUCCGCGCCGCAUUAGCUAGUUGGUAAGGUAACGGCUUACCAAGGCAACGAUGCGUAGCCGACCUGAGAGGGUGAUCGGCCACACUGGAACUGAGACACGGUCCAGACUCCUACGGGAGGCAGCAGUAGGGAAUCUUCCGCAAUGGGCGAAAGCCUGACGGAGCAACGCCGCGUGAGUGAUGAAGGUCUUCGGAUCGUAAAACUCUGUUAUUAGGGAAGAACAAAUGUGUAAGUAACUAUGCACGUCUUGACGGUACCUAAUCAGAAAGCCACGGCUAACUACGUG